rnacentral:rRNA from 1 species
UACGUAGGGUGCGAGCGUUGCUCGGAAUUACUGGGCGUAAAGUGUGCGCAGGCGGCCGCGCAAGUCGAGUGUGAAAUCCCCGAGCUUAACUUGGGAAUUGCGCUCGAAACUACGUGGCUGGAGUGUGGCAGAGGAAGGUGGAAUUCCACGUGUAGCGGUGAAAUGCGUAGAGAUGUGGAGGAACACCGAUGGCGAAGGCAGCCUUCUGGGCCAACACUGACGCUCAUGCACGAAAGCGUGGGGAGCAAACAGG